GAAAAAUGGAACAAACCUGAUGUGCAUUUUCUCUCCUACAGACAGACAAAAACACACGUCAGUUUCUGAUCCGGCUUUUUUUAAUGAAUUUCCGAGAGAAUAAAUCUUCUGAUUUCCAUGGACUUUUUUCAGAUUAAAAAGGGGUCCAGCAUCUCCUGCAGAUCUGUCUCCCCAAGCCCCUCGCUGCGUAAUUGCUUCACCUGCAGACUGUGAGGGAAGAUCGCCAUCUACUGAAGAAAGCCUUCGAGGCUGGAGUGAUUUUCCUCACUGCCUUGCUUGCCCCUGUUUAGCUGGCAAGCAGGGAACCGAAGCUGCCAUUGCCGCUGUUUGAACACCAAAGCGAUGGAGGAGGGGAGCAAUUCCGAAAAGGCAGACUUCAAGAGCAUAUUGUCUUGAUUAUAAAUAGAGCCUGAUAUGGAGAGCCUUCACAGAAAAAAGCGAUAGCAAGAAUCUGCCCUGCACACAAGAGGAGACUAAGGAAGGUCAGAGAGACUUACUCUUCCUUACCUGUUGCAAAUUUCAGGUCAUGUGAAAAACUACAUAGAGACCCUGUUUUGUCGAUUUGCAUGCUCUAAGGCUCUGGGCCAAAUAAAUAUUCUCUUGUCCAGAAGCACCUCUAAUUUAUUAGAACUUGGUGCGUGAAGAGCUCUUCGGUCUACAGAAGAUUGUUCUUCAGAGAAAAUUCCUUUAUUAUGAGAUGUAAUUCUAAGAUAUGGAUUAUUGUGGUAAGUUAAACUACUCAUUUGUUCAUGCCAUUUCACCCUGUUCUGCAAGAGUAGAAGUAUAGCACUUAAAAAAAUUAAAUACCCCCACCUGAUUACUUAGCCACAUUAUUUGUGAGGUUCUCUUCCCCCAAUCACAGAGAAGAGAAUCACUAUGGAAACAAAGUGGAUAUAAUGCAUAUUGCAAGCAAAGUGUGUUUCAGGCUUUUAAAAGAUGUCCAAUUAUUUUAAUAGCAGAGCUUCAUAGCAAACGUUGUAUUUUAGAUGUAUUCUCCUUCCUCUUAAGCACACUAAUGAUGUGUCAGAAAGACUGGAAAUCCAAGAGCACCCCACCAGGAAAUUACCACCCAUUUGACUCCUCCUCCAGAUGCUUCCCCAGAUGUCUCUCCAGAUGUCAGUUCAGAGGAGGAUGAACCAAUCCCUGGCUCCAAGCAGCCAGCUGAAAGUGAUUUGGCUGAAGCACAGCUGCAGCAGGCAGCCCUGAGGCUUCAGGUGAGGAAAUUGCAGCCGGUUAGUGAUGAGGAGAAGGAACUGCCUUCUGAACCUGAUCCAAGAACAUGUAGGGCAGAGAAAAGGCAGAACCAGCGAAGAUCAGCCUGAUGAUUCGUGAGGAGGCAGCCUUGUCCCUCUUGAUGGGCUGCACUGGAAGCUGGCAAUUUAGAUGGAGAUAAUGCUGGGAACAAUGUGUACAUUUCUUUGCUGUGUGUUUCCUGGUUGUUGUGAUUCCAGCCUUGCCUUGGAUUGACCCUGUACCUUGACUUUGGAUUGUGCCGUGUGAACUUUGGACUUGUCUUGCCUCAUGCAUCCUCUUGUAUUGUGGAUUUAAUUUUGCCCAGUGGAUUUAUCUUGUUUGCCAAAUUUUCAAGUGCCCUGUGGACUCAGAGGCCAUUGCUCUAUGGACUAGCAUUGGCCUGCUUUUGUCUGGACUUAAUUGGGACAGUUCUGGGUUUUUAGUGAAGGGAAUUCACUGGGGAAUAUUAAUAAACCCACUAACCCACUGUUGCAUGUGUGUUCGAGUGGGUGGGACAGCACAAUUGUAUUAUUAUUUUUUUAUGUAUUCCAUGUAUUGUAAAAUCUUUAAUAGAACGCAACCACAGAUGUUCUCUGUGGAACAGGAGUAGAUAAUGUGGUGAAACAAUAACUGUUUCUCAUGGUUUCCAGCAGGCUCCAUCUCUCACCCUUAAAAACCAAAUCAUAGUAAAUGGGAAUUGACACACUGCAAAGUAAGGUACAAGAGUACCUUCAUCUUUAUUUCCAGAAUGCCUCUGGGCCUCUCUUGGCAUUUGUAGAAAAUAAACAGGCCCAGGGGCUGAAGCUCUGUUCAAUCUGUGCUCAUCUGCCCCAGCCCACAAAGCAAAGAUAAACACCUUUCUCGCAGAGUUCUCUUUAAUAAGGCUAGUAGUGCAAGAAUCACAGCAACUAAUCGAUGUUCAUAUACACCCACAUAGCCUCCUAACACAUUGAGGAAGGAGAUUUUCUAAUUUUUCUUUCUAACAGCCUUCCUGCGAUCUCUUCAUCAAUAACAUUCCCUCAGAGCUCUCUUUUUAUCUAAUGGUCUCCUUUUUUGUUUUACAAUGGGAGCAAUCUCAUCUUUUCAAUUUGUGUUUCCGGUGGCAGCCAUUUUGUUGGGUUUAUUACUCUUAAAAUUUUGCUAAUGUAUCUAAUGCCCACCUAAAACAAUUUUGCUUACUUCUACCGUAGAUGCUCUUGACAGGUGAGGAAAGAUUCUAAGCGGGCAUCACAAAGCUGUGGCUACAUGCCAUGGAUUUGAAGAGAAUGGAUAUCUACCGUAUCAGAAAGAUGGAAGGAAGAAGUAAGAUUCAAGAUGUGUAUAUAUGUGGGCACACACAGGGGUGAAAGGCUACCGGUUCGGACCGGAUGACCUGAUCCGGUAGCGAUGGUGGCGGGUGGUUCAGAGAACCGGUAGCAAAAAUCCCUGCCCCCCACCCCUAUGCCCAGCUGAGUCGCGCGAUCAUCAGAGGCUUUUUUUUUUUUACUUUUAAAAGCAUUUUUUCUACAAUC